AUACGUAGGGGGCGAGCGUUGUCCGAAGUUACUGGGCGUAAAGCGCGCGUAGGCGGCUCUUUAAGUGAUUGGUGAAAUCCCCGGGCUCAACCCGGGGUGGUCUGGUCAUACUGGGGAGCUAGAGUAUGGGAGGGGAGAGCGGAACUCCUGGUGUAGCGGUGAUAUGCGUAGAGAUCAGGAAGAACACCCGUGGCGAAGGCGGCUCUCUGGACCAUAACUGACGCUGAGGUGCGAAAGCCAGGGUAGCGAACGGGAUUAGAUACCCCGGUAGUCCUGGCCCUAAACGAUGGAUACUAGGUGUGGCGGGUAUCGACCCCUGCCGCGCCGCAGCUAACGCAAUAAGUAUCCCGCCUGGGGAGUACGGCCGCAAGGUUGAA
rnacentral:rRNA from 1 species